ACAAAUAGGAGCUGAAUCAAAUUCACACUAGUGGUAGAUGUAGGUUGCACGUACACUGGUUCACAGAUCAACUAGUAACUAAAUUGACCGAAGAAAAAACUGAACAGUAGAAAGACUACUGGAAACAACACACACAAGACGCUCACAAGCAAACUCUUAUUUGAGUGGAGAUAUACGUAGAUGGUAGCUAAUAGUAGCUAUAGGUUGAUCCAUAGGCUUGUUGCAUGCGCCAUGCAUGCAAGAGAAGAAGGG
rnacentral:lncRNA from 1 species